AUUGGUGUAAUGCUCUUAGAUACAAAUGAUCAUUGAAUGGGUCUAUUCACAAUAAGGAUGAUUGUGCUUUUAUGUGAAUGCGUUAAUCUAUAUAACGGAUUUUCAAUGCAGAUUAAUGGUUCGAACUAAAGUGAAGAGGUGCUCCUGGCUUGAAUAAUGUGGCCAAGCAAGCAUUACGUAUUUCCUACCAGGGAGGCAUAUCGGUACCACUUCCAAGAACCCCCUGCCGCGCCUCUUCAGCAUGAGGAGGUUAAAAGAGUCCGACAUAUUAUGAAUUGGGACAGAAAAUCUAGGGACUUAGAGCCGAUGAUGAGCGAGCGGACAGAACUCGACUACCAAAUGGCAUCAGAAAUUGUAAGAAAGGAUGCGCCAUUUGGCACAGAUUCUACCCCAAACAUUACAUUGAAGAUUAUUGGUGGGAGACAGGUUCCUGUUAUCGAGAAACACCCAGUAUAUAAUAACGACUAUGCUGGAAGUCGAAUACAACCUCUGAGACCAAUAGCUGACAAACCAAACCAUUUAGAUCCAAGAAUACAUGGGGACAAUCCUGGAGGAUAUUACCACAAAGAUGUACAGGAGAUAUACACUCAUCCUUUAGAACACAAAGGCUUUGAUUUCGAAAAGUUUUACGAAGAACUAGGUGAUAAGCCGACAAAUUUUGCAAAUAAAAGACCCGAUUCUAAGGACGUUGUACGCGGUCAAUUUAAGGCCUUGCCUCCAAUUCAACAAAAUCGGACACGUAAUGAUCUUUCCACAGUUUUUGAAGCAGAACCUUGGACGGAUAACAGAAACCCGCCACUAGCACACGAUACGGAAUAUAAGCAGAAUUUUUAUUUAGGACGGGAUUCUGAGAACGGAAUGGAUCACUAUAAUUCAGGCGGUCAAAAGGAUUUUCAUUAUGUGUCCGAGUCUGAGCAAAAAAAUCUGUUUAUGCUACUUCCCAGAAAUGUGCUUUUACCAGUGGAUCCAAUCAAAUUGACUCGCGAUCAAGAGGCCACUCUGUGUAAAUUAAUUUGUAAUGAAUUGAAUAGAUUCGAUCCUAAGGAGUUACGGGAUGUGUACAUUGAAUGCAGCCAGCAUGAUAAGGAAUUGCGUGGAUUCUGUGGAAUAGAAAUAUUGGAUAACAAUCUUCGAAGACACAAGGCAUUUCUGGCAGAUACUCUAAGAAUAGCCGCAGCUCAAUUUGUGGAUCCAAAUUACCCCGGCAAAGUGAAUUAUGAGAAAACGUUAUCCCUGAUUGGGUCAGCGCUGAAUCUUAAUGCGACAGGACAAUUAGAUAAACGGCUAAAUCAGCCUGCUCCAAAACAGGAAGUAUUGGUUGACACUGAUAAAGAUGUUCAAAACAGGUCUCAGGAAAGGCAGCCGAAGUACUACAUGCAAAAUGGAGAAUCAUUUAAAACUGGUUCAAUAUACCGCGACCGAGAGGUUGCCAAACUUUUACGCAUGGUUGAGCAAGAACUGUCGAAAAACACUUACGCGAUGGACUGGACUCGGUGGCAAAACAGCUUCUAUGAACGAGACAGGGAUCAUCGGGAAACGCUGUCCGCUGCUCAGAUAAAGGAUAUUUGCUACGAUCAGAAGUUACCCCUGUCAGACUCUCUUAUUAACCAUAUACUGAAUCUGUGUGAAGAUAACAACCGGGAUGGCCAGUACAGAUGGCACUCCUUCUUGGAGUUUUUGAGCCGUGUACGCCCGUCAAACACCGGCCUACCGAUUCCAGUAAGUAAACGUCCCCUGGAGUACGCCAAACACUAUCCCGCACCCGUGCCAAACUGGCCCCGAACAGACGCAGAUACAGAGAGACGAGGAACCUCGCCACGACGAGAUAUUUCGCCCAUGCGUGGUCAAAUUAGGCAAGAUGAUAGGAAUGAGACCCCGGUAAUGAGAGUAACCUCAUCUAAAGAACGGAAUGAAAAGAAAGACGAAGAUAACAGUGGUUAUCAACCAAGCUGGCAACAAAAUGCACAACAGAGAUCCACCUCACCUCCGUACCCAAGAAGAAUAAAUGAGAGAGAUCGAUAUAGACGAGAAGAGAGACCUGAAGAUUCACCAUAUGAACACCAUUGGAAGAACUGGGCUUAUAGAAGUAACAGAAAACCAAGAGCUUUACAGCGAGUUCCAAGUCGUUACGAGAGACCUAAAUCCUACGCCGAGCCUCAGAGGAAAACGUCUUUCCCAAACCUUGAAGAACAGCGUAGACGACCUUUUUCGUAUCGAGACGAGCUAAGAAUAGCAGACCAGUAUUAUGGAAGACCUCCGUCACGUCUUCAGACUCCACUCAGAAGAACCCAAAGUCUUUCACCAGUCAGAAACUUGUCCCCAAUAAGGGGACAGCCUGUCCCUUACACAUACAGAGAUGCCUAUGGUGCUCAAUCAUAUAGGGAUUACAAUAGGCAGCAAUACCCAUAUGAACAAAUGGGGUCUUACAGUUAUAGAUACAACGAUCGUGACAAUUACCAGCAACAGCAGAUGCCACAGCAGCAGAUGAUGCAACAGCGUGAAGGCAGGGAUUCUUUCCGUGAAGGAAACAGGCAAGGUGGUGGUGGUAGGGGCCGUGGCGACGAUACACAUAGAUCCAGGGAACAACAAAUCAUGCAACUAUCAACUCAGCUUCAUGAUCUGGAAUCCAAAUACGAAAAUACACAAGAUUAUUAUCAAAGAGGUUAUUAUAACGACAGAGGAUAUAGGUGAAAACAGUGGGUGACAAAAGAGGCAAUGAGCAGUAGGGACAAACCAUGGUUGGAUCGGUAUCUAAAACUGGCACAGGCUUUGUAUGACAGUGAUAUAUCAUAUAAAGGAAGUCUCCCGAGGAAA
rnacentral:misc_RNA from 1 species